CCUACGGGUGGCUGCAGUGGGGAAUAUUGGACAAUGGGCGAAAGCCUGAUCCAGCCAUGCCGCGUGUGUGAAGAAGGCCUUCGGGUUGUAAAGCACUUUCAGUGGGGAAGAAAGCCUUGGGGCUAAUACCCUCGAGGAAGGACAUCACCCACAGAAGAAGCACCGGCUAACUCCGUGCCAGCAGCCGCGGUAAUACGGAGGGUGCGAGCGUUAAUCGGAAUUACUGGGCGUAAAGCGCGCGUAGGCGGUCUGAUAAGCCGGUUGUGAAAGCCCCGGGCUCAACCUGGGAACGGCAUCCGGACCUGUCAGGCUAGAGUGCAGGAGAGGAAGGUAGAAUUCCCGGUGUAGCGGUGAAAUGCGUAGAGAUCGGGAGGAAUACCAGUGGCGAAGGCGGCCUUCUGGACUGACACUGACGCUGAGGUGCGAAAGCGUGGGUAGCAAACAGGAUUAGAUACCCCAGUAGUC
rnacentral:rRNA from 1 species